CCCCUAGGACGAGGCAGCAGUAGAGAAUAUUGUGCAAUAUACGUCAGUAUGACACAGAGAGCACACAUCCCACUUAGCCUGUCAAAUUAAGUGCCAGCAGACGCGGUUAGACUUAAGGGCUAAGCCUUUAUAGGUAAAAGGGCGUAAAGGGUGUGUAGGCCGACAAUCCCCCCCCCCAAGGUGGUAAAUGGAAUUUUUCUGUAACGGUAGAAUGUGUGGAUAGAAAAUAGAACCCCAAAGGCAAAAGCAAUUUACCUCGGGGAAGGGGUGGAAACCAGAUAUUCCCGAUCGGGACCUAUCACUCCCCCCCGAGCACAGGCUGAAACACGAGGGUGUGGGUAACAAACAGGAUUAGAGACCCUGGUAGUCCACACUGUAAACGAUGAAGAAAAUGUUAAUGCAACCCCGAAAGGUAGUAAUCUUCCGCCUGAGUAGUACGAUCGCAAGAUUAAAAUUCAAAAAAUUUGGCUGUUCACUGUUUCGAUUAGAGGAGCGUGUAGUUUAAUUCGAUAAACCGCGAGAUACCUUACCCAAACUUGAAUCACCCAUCCGAGAUUGAAUGGUCUCGGGAGGGUAGACCGGUAUUGCAUGGCCGUCGUCAGUUCGUGUAUGAAACCUUUAACGGACCUAACCCGGGGGUUAGCCGCGGAUGAAGUCAGGUCUUAUGAUCCCUAUGUUUGGGGAUAAUAUGCGCUACAUUUUCUUAUACAAUGGGAAACCUGAAAGGUGAAACCCCAAAGUAGGAGUUCGGUAGGUCAUUGUAAGAUGACCGAAAGUUGAAUUUAAUAGUAAUCGGAAAGUAGAGCGUUCCGGUGAAAUGAUCUAAGUGUUAGCACAAAUCGCCCGUCACCUUAACUUAGAACGAUAGUACGGACGCAGCCCAGCCAGCUCGCAAUGUCGAGGCCCCCCUCAAGGGGGGUGAGGCUUCGGUGUCACGAAUCUCUACGAAGUA
rnacentral:rRNA from 1 species